rnacentral:rRNA from 1 species
AGAGUUUGAUCCUGGCUCAGAUUGAACGCUGGCGGCGUGCUUAACACAUGCAAGUCGUGCGAGAAAGGGGACUUCGGUCCCUGAGUAGAGCGGCGCACGGGUGAGUGACGCGUGGAUAAUCUACCCAGAUGUUCGGGAUAACGGUGGGAAACUGCCGCUAAUACCGGAUACGAUCCAAUUUCGGUUGGAUGAAAGGCGGCCUCUGCUUGCAAGCUGUCGCAUCUGGAUGAGUCCGCGUCCCAUUAGCUUGUUGGUGGGGUAAUGGCCUACCAAGGCUACGAUGGGUAACUGGUCUGAGAGGAUGAUCAGUCACACUGGAACUGAAACACGGUCCAGACUCCUACGGGAGGCAGCAGUGGGGAAUAUUGCGCAAUGGGGGAAACCCUGACGCAGCGACGCCGUGUGAGGGAAGAAGGCUUUCGGGUCGUAAACCUCUGUCGGGAGGGAAG